CUCAUCUGCACUCCAGCGGCUCAUGGCCAGCUCCCUCACCUGCACCAGUGGCUCUUGGCCGGCUCCCUCCCCUGCACACCAGCGGCUCACGGCCGGCUCCCUCCCCUGCACACCAGUGGCUCAUGGCUCACUCCCUCCCUUGCAAACCAGCAGCUCACGGCCUGCUCCCUCCCCUGCAUUCCAGCAGCUCAUGACCAGCUCCCUCACCUGCACUCCAGUGGGUGGCCCAGUGCUUGUGCAAAAGCUGCUGACUAGCUCCAGCCUGCCCAAAUCCACAAACGUCUCUUAUGUGGUGGUUGAACCACAUUUUAUGACAUCUGAACACCUUUCAAAUCUGUGCUUCCUUGGGUACCUCUCUUUCCAAUAGGGCACCAGGCAGAGUUGCUUUAUGUCUUACAGUGACUCUUUUAUCAUAGUUGCAAUCCUUUAUACUACACUUCCCCGUUAGACCCACUAUGUGGUUUCUAUCUCUUGAUGGGACCCAGGCUGCUACACAACCUAACCCAUGAACAUUGCACUUCAUUAAUUCCUCACCAUUGGCCCAAGAUCAUGCUCCAUCACCUGUCUCUGCCUUCUGACUUUCUUUCCUUAAGUGAAACCCCUAAACGUCCUCUUUGUGCCCAAAGCUUACCUGCUCUUCCUUCCCUAUAUUCUUGGCCAGACACAAAAAUCUGAUGCUCUGGCAAAUGCAGAAAUGGGGAGAAGGCAGGGGAAUCAUUUCUCCUCCCUUAGGUAAGCACUGAGGGUUAUGUCAUUCCAUUGUGUGAGGAAUAAAAAAAUGAGGCAUAGAGAGCUGCCAUGAUUUGCCUGGACCAAUGAAGCUUUCAUGGCAGAGGUGGAACAAAUGUUUAGGUGUCCUGAAUGUCAGUCCAGCUCAUAUGUCUUCAGAACGUGCUGUGGAGGGAGACACCGGGGGAUCCCACUCAUGCUGAGCACUCAGGGGUACCCAGGUGCUGAGAGUGGGGACGUGACAGGCUGAGUUGACUCAGUCCAGUCCUCCUACACCAAAUAAUGAUGGAAACCCUCACAUAAUAGAAGUGAAGAGAGGGAACGAAGCCAGGAACUAUUAAGAGGCUGAUGCCUAGGAGGCCUGGGCAGAAUGACAGGGAGAUUAGAGCAGAACAGAGGCCGUAGAUGGGGACAAGGGGAAGGAAGUGGCCUCAGUGGCCAGAUGGCACCUGUCCACUGCACAGAGGCUGGAGCCUUGAGUUCCAUCUAGUCCUUGUCAACUACAAUCAUUCUGCCCUAUGGCUCAAUGAGUCCUGGAGAAAAUGUGUUUUCUGCAGGCUGCGGAGGUGAGAAUAAAACAAUUCAGCCGUAAGAAGUUGAAAGUCCCGGAAAUCAUAGCAGGUGGAGAUGGGAUUCCUACUUAAACUUCCUGCCCUUGACUUCUGGUUUGGCCAUGUGUCUCACUUUGGCCAAUGAAUGUGGUAAACUGCCCAUUCUGAGCCUGGGUGGUAGGAUAAGAGACCUUCACAUUUCCCUUUGUUCUUUGUACUCCUGCCAUUGCCAUGAGAAGAAGGCACCCUGGCAGGCCCCAACCCGAGGAGGAUCAGAGACACUUGGAGCAUAUCCAGCUCAGCCACCACAGUUUGAGCUUAAACCUCCCAAGCAACUCAUGCCCAUGAGUGAGAAAUGGUGGCCUAUGGUAGUAGGCCUCUGAGGUGUGGGGUUACUAGUUACAAAGCAAGAGUUAACUAACAGAGAUUUCUACCUCACAUCCCUAUGAAUCAAAGGACAAAGGAAAUGAAACAAAAUGUGAAAAGCAGAUUUCCAAUUUUUAGAAGAAAACAGAGGACAGAUUUUAUGACACUAAGCAGAGAAAAACUUUUUUUAAUAUGACACAAAACACAGACACCAUAAAAGAAACUACUGACAAAAAAGGCGAUGAAUAAAGUUAAAAGACAAAGACAGUGCAUGAUAAGGUUUGGCUG
rnacentral:lncRNA from 1 species